CCAAUAGCGUAUAUUAAAGUUGCUGCAGUUAAAAAGCUCGUAGUUGAAUUUCGGGACCAUCAUGUCGGUCGUGCCUCGGUACGUACUGGUAUUGUUGGUUUCUCCCUUCUGACGAACCAUGAUGUCAUUUAUUUGGUGUUGUGGGGAAUCGGGACUGUUACUUUGAAAAAAUUAGAGUGUUUAAAGCAGGCUCACGCUUGAAUACAUUAGCAUGGAAUAAUGAAAUAGGACGUUUGAUUCUAUUUUGUUGGUUUCUAGGAUCGACGUAAUGAUUAAUAGGGAUAGUUGGGGGCAUUAGUAUUCAAUUGUCAGAGGUGAAAUUCUUGGAUUUAUUGAAGACUAACUACUGCGAAAGCAUUUGCCAAGGAUGUUUUCAUUAAUCAAGAACGAAAGUUAGGGGAUCGAAGACGAUCAGAUACCGUCGUAGUCUUAACCAUAAACUAUGCCGACUAGGGAUCGGAUGAUGUUAAUUUUUUAAUGACUCAUUCGGCGCCUUACG
rnacentral:rRNA from 1 species